rnacentral:pre_miRNA from 14 species
GUCCAGAGAAGGUGAAAGACCCCCGGAGCGGGGAGACCCUCACUCAAGUCUCUGGAUGAUGCGACCCCCCAAGAACUCACAUGAGACC